UGUAAUUCUGCUAAACCUUGGGCAACUGGGCUUCUCUUAUUAUGUUUAUAACGGACUUUUAGCGGCCAUCCCUGUAAGGAUAGAGUCCAUGCAGUAAUCCGACUGUUAGAGAGAUUACCGUCUCUAAUUCUUUCACUCUGCAGAUACUGUAGAGGUUGGUGAGCUGUUUCUACAAUUAUUUUCUCACCUUGGAUAUAGCUACGAAAAUUUUGUAGUGCCCAUACAGUCAACAAUAACGCCUUCUCACACGUGUUGAAUUUAACUUCAACAGGUGACA
rnacentral:lncRNA from 1 species